rnacentral:sRNA from 1 species
GAUAGGGGAACGGAGGCUAAAAGCCAUCACGUACUGUGAUAACGCCUUCGACCAACAUCGUGCCGC